rnacentral:tRNA from 1 species
GGGUGUAGCUCAGUGGUAGAGCACAUGCUUAGCAUGCAUGAGGUCCUGGGUUCAAUCCCCAGUACGUCCA